GAAACAUUCCACCACGGCCGGCCGCCGCACCGCAACCUUGGGUUUCCUCUGCGAGAGACGGCGGCGGCGGCUGAGGGCCUAGCCACUCCGCCCGAUGUAUCGCGGCAGCGGGUCGGCGGCUGCUCCCGGCGAGCAGCCCAUCGACGCCAACCCUGUCGAAAAGAAUUCAAAAUGAAAGGAGCCCCAAACAUGAUUUUGCUGCCAUUAUUGAACUGAUUCAAGCGAUCAAUGUAUGCCAUGGCCAGUUUGUGGAGCAAGCACUGGAGCAUAUCCACUAAGAGUACGACUUGCAGUUGUGUUCAUUAUAUCCAGACACCAUGAGGUACUGCUGAAUGAGCUCAAAUCGCCGAGUUGCUUGAGUUGGGAAAGUUCUCAAAAUUCAUGGAUUCCAUUACUCGGGACAGCACACGUCUUCUAAAUGCUGACAACCCCGCGUUUGACUAUGUACAUCGAAUUUUAAACAGCCUUUCUAUUAACACGUAAGCUCUUGGGAAAUCCUCCUUUCCUAUUCAAAUGAUUUAACUUAGAUACACAUCAUCAUUAGUUGAUUAUUUUAUUUCUGCACCUGGAGAUAAUUUAGUAAUAUGUACGCAUCAUGAUUGCGAUGUUUAUUUUUAUUGUUGCAUGUUCUCAAUAAUUUUGUAUGAGUGGUAUUAUUACAAAGUCUACUCAUAUUUCAUACUUAAAUGGUAGUGCAGAAAUUGUUUAUGAGUCCCAUUGCUGUGACAGUCUAAAUGCAGUCUCAGUCUGACGGAUAGUCCAAGGUUCCAAGCCUAUCCAUGGGUACCAGUAUCUCUGUAAUUCCUCCAUUUCAAAGAAGCAUGCCACUACUUAAAGCGAACAUGUAUUUUUUUUUUUUACUUUGUAUGGAGAAAAGUUCACAGUUAAGUUAAUCAUGGCAGAUGAUUUCUGUUAGGUUUGAUUUCCUAUGCCCUCUAUUUAUUGGAGAGUUGAGAUGUCCAAUGCCACGAGUGUAUUGCUAUUAAAAUCCUUAGAGGAAGAUAACAUAAGACAGAACCCAGUUUUGUUUCAUUGAUGUUGCAGCUGACAAAAAGGGUGUUGCCUGGUUAUCUGUGUUACCGACCUAAGUUACCACCAUGCAACAAUGGUGGUGUUGGUUACAUAUGUUAUCUGCAAAACUAACCCCGCUUAUAUCUGCAAAGAAUUUGGGCUUAGCGUACCUAAAUUAGAACAUACGAGCUAGUUAUCGACACUAGAAAAACACUCAUUAAACAGUAAACUUCUCUUCUCUUUUUUUUAAGGACAUUCAAAGAAACUUCCUUUCAUUUAUGGACCUCUGUUCCAAACAAGUUGUGCCAUUUCUUUUUUCCCUCGAACACUUAGUAUGUGCCAUUUCAUUUAGUUGAUCUCGAUGUUACUAAGCUUCAACUACAUUAUCUAUCAGUUUUUUUUUUGAAAUACAUUAUCUAUCAGUUGUUCUUCUACUAUCCUAUCAAGUAAAUAAUGGCAAUGUUGUAAUAUUUUACCUGAUGGAGGAGGGCACACUGCACCUUGCAUGUAUCAGUCUCUAUCUAACGGACAAUGCGUCGUGUUUCCUACAGCGUGCAGGUCUGGUUUUCUUUAGAGAUGCCAUCUGUACUUGGUAUUGGACUUGAGGAAGCCAAUACAAACAUGAUCGACGCGGAUGAGACUGACGGUAGUGACAUUCCAUUGCUGCGUAUACUAAUCAGUUAGACAGCGAAGGCACGACCCUGACUGCUGGUGACGGUUAAUUAAUUGAUUUACUAUACACAACGGGCGUUGCAUCUUAUGUUCCUGUGACUGAGACAAGCAAUACUUGUGGUGAUUCUAAAUUGCAAUGAAUUUGUGCGUGUUCCACGCUGCGCGAUAAUGCUCCAUCGAUGGGGAUUGGUCGUGCGUCACGAAGAGAGCACCGCUGCGUUUAUUAAAUUGCAAAACUGAAAUUUAUAUAGAGAGGUUGCUUUCGUUGUAAUGCUUGCUUCAUUGCGUGCCAUCUUAAAGCUUGGACAUGUGUUUUGGGUGUUUUCUCUUUUGUGCUUCGGGUAAUAGGCAUGCAUAUCCUCCAUGAUUAGGCUGUGCAGGCUGAGAAGUAUGUUUAAUCUGCUCAUUCUGUUUGUUCAAGUGCAAAACACACAGGACUGCUAUGAUGGAUGGAAGACGAAGAAAAAGUGAAAUUACAAAGACUCUAGGAUGACACACUGAACACCUCUGUUUCUUCUUGCAAGGUUUUAAUCCAUGGUGUUUCUCCGUUCCAAACUAAUCGAAGUUCCAGCUUUGUUCUAAGUCAAACUUCUCCAUAUUUGACCAGAAUCAUAGAAAAACGUGUUGACAUCUUUGGAUUCUUUCUGGAAAAUAAAUUUAUGACAAAGAAAAUGAAACAAAUUUGUUGUUAUAGAUGUUGCUAUAUAUUCUUUCUAUAGAUUUGGUCAAAUUUUAAAAAGAAAUUAACUUUGGAACGAAGAAGAAACUAUUAACAAUUUUUUUGGGGACAUCAGAAGUAACUCUUAAUGUGGUUGAACUAAUUAGAUGUCCAACUAAAGAGAAGAAACCGGUGCCCGGCCGGCCAUGGCUUAAAAGAUGCCGCAUUCGUCGUGGAAGUCAUCCAACACGGGCUGUAUCGGUCCACCGAGCGGUUCAGACGUGUUUUCUCUAGCAAAUUGAAGACAAAAAUUGGGGGAGUAUUGCGGGAGUUUAGACAGAAGACACAUAGGACUUCAACACGUAGGAUUCUUACACCCUCGGCCGACCCAAUCCCCACUCUCGGUCUCAUUUCCUUCUGUCCCGCCCCUUCUCCUCCUUGCUUUACAUCCGCACCAUCCACCUCGUGACCGUUGUUGUACGUCUCCAGCUGCCACAGAAGCAUUGCAGGGCGUCCUCAACCAGCACCGACGCGCCCGCUCGCCUCUACGAUGGCCCUGUCCACCCUGGAACCGUUUGUACACACGUACACUCCGCCCCCAUAUAGACGACCUCCAUGGCGAACUCCACACUUGGCAGGUGUUCGAUCAAAUGUCAUUGAGCUUAUUUUUGAACGCAUGUUGUUUUUUAGAGUACGAAGAAUGGUGAGCUACUCGGUCAUGAAGGGUGAGUUGUUGUGCGACGCGUGGUUGGGAGACCUUCUGGCAGCAAGUGCAUGAAAUGUUUUACGCACGGAAGCACAUUACGCCUUAUGACAUGUAUAUCAUUCAAGAAUGCAACGCGAGGUCGUUAUCGUAUUGCUGGCACGCUAUCAAGAAUAGCGUCACCAAGUUUUGCUUCCUCUUGCUUAACUUGUUGAUUGAUUCAUUCACUCAAUGUUGGUCUACAUAUUAUGUAGCCCGCACGCGCCGUCGUGGUGUACCACAGGACAGAGGGACGGCGAUUUACGUACACACUGUUGGA